ACGCACGCUGGCGGCGUGCUUAACCCAUGCAAGUCGAACGGAAAGGCCCUGCUUUUGUGGGGUGCUCGAGUGGCGAACGGGUGAGUAACACGUGAGUAACCUGCCCUUGACUUUGGGAUAACUUCAGGAAACUGGGGCUAAUACCGGAUAGGAGCUCCUGCUGCAUGGUGGGGGUUGGAAAGUUUCGGCGGUUGGGGAUGGACUCGCGGCUUAUCAGCUUGUUGGUGGGGUAGUGGCUUACCAAGGCUUUGACGGGUAGCCGGCCUGAGAGGGUGACCGGCCACAUUGGGACUGAGAUACGGCCCAGACUCCUACGGGAGGCAGCAGUGGGGAAUAUUGCACAAUGGGCGGAAGCCUGAUGCAGCAACGCCGCGUGCGGGAUGACGGCCUUCGGGUGGUAAACCGCUUUCGCCUGUGACGAAGCGUGAGUGACGGUAAUGGGUAAAGAAGCACCGGCUAACUACGU
rnacentral:rRNA from 1 species